rnacentral:rRNA from 1 species
CGGGGAGGUAGUGACGAAAAAUAACGAUACGGGACUCAUCCGAGGCCCCGUAAUCGGAAUGAGUACACUUUAAAUCCUUUAACGAGGACCAAUUGGAGGGCAAGUCUGGUGCCAGCAGCCGCGGUAAUUCCAGCUCCAAUAGCGUAUAUUAAAGUUGUUGCGGUUAAAAAGCUCGUAGUUGAAUCUGUGUGUCACAGUGUCGGUUCACCGCUCGCGGUGUCUAACUGGCAUUAUGUGAUACGUCCUAUCGGUGGGCUUAGCUCCUUGCGGGCGGUCCAACUAAUCUCCCAUCGCGGUGCUCUUCACUGAGUGUCGAGGUGGGCCGAUACGUUUACUUUGAACAAAUUAGAGUGCUUAAAGCAGGCUACCUUCGCCUGAAUAUUCUGUGCAUGGAAUAAUGGAAUAGGACCUCGGUUCUAUUUUGUUGGUUUUCGGAGCCCCGAGGUAAUGAUUAAUAGGGACAGAUGGGGGCAUUCGUAUUGCGACGUUAGAGGUGAAAUUCUUGGAUCGUCGCAAGACGGACAGAAGCGAAAGCAUUUGCCAAAAAUGUUUUCAUUAAUCAAGAACGAAAGUUAGAGGUUCGAAGGCGAUCAGAUACCGCCCUAGUUCUAACCAUAAACGAUGCCAGCCAGCGAUCCGCCGAAGUUCUUCAGAUGACUCGGCGGGCAGCUUCCGGGAAACCAAAGCUUUUGGGUUCCGGGGGAAGUAUGGUUGCAAAGCUGAAACUUAAAGGAAUUGACGGAAGGGCACCACCAGGAGUGGAGCCUGCGGCUUAAUUUGACUC